UACGUAGGGUGCAAGCGUUAAUCGGAAUUACUGGGCGUAACGCGUGCGCAGGCGGUUGUGCAAGACAGAUGUGAAAUCCCCGGGCUCAACCUGGGAAUUGCAUUUGUGACUGCACGGCUAGAGUGUGUCAGAGGGGGGUAGAAUUCCACGUGUAGCAGUGAAAUGCGUAGAGAUGUGGAGGAAUACCGAUGGCGAAGGCAGCCCCCUGGGAUAACACUGACGCUCAUGCACGAAAGCGUGGGGAGCAAACAGG
rnacentral:rRNA from 1 species